rnacentral:tRNA from 1 species
CAAAUUAGAGCUUUAAAAGUAUUUUAUUUACAUUAAAAAGGUUGUUUGUGAAAAUCAAAUUAAUUUGA